GACAGGGCAGGAAACCUUUUAACAGUCCUGGGCACGUAGCCAAGACUCCCAGCCUUGCUUCUGAGUUUGACGCAGAAAGUAGAAAGGAAAGGAGAGUUUUUCAUUCACCACAAGACGGAAAGUGACCAUUUCUCAACUUAAGGGCAUUUGACCUUUUACUGUAUUUCUAGGCUCUGACUCUAAGCUUCAGGAAAAUCUAGAAGGAGGGUUAAUAAAAGGAGCUGAUAACCAAAACAAUCUAUUCAGAAACAGCGGCUAAGAUUCACUCAGCAAUAGUCAGAAUAGAAGACAGGAGUCUCUCUUCUGCAGAAUUAAGAUAGUCCUUGACUUACAACUCUUUGUUUAACGACUGAAUUUACAACGACACUGGAAAAAAAUGACUUACAAAUGGUCAUCACAUUUAUAACCAUGGCAGCAGAGUCACAUGAUCAAAAUCCAGGCACUUGGCAACCAGCAUGUACUUACAACGGAUUGCAGUGCUACAAGCUCAUAGGAUUGCCAUUUUCAACCUUCCCAAUUAGUUUCCAACAAGCAAAAUUAAUCAGGAAAGCCAGAUUUGUUUAAGGACCAUGUGAUUCAAUUCAGAAGUCCAGUGAAUCACUUAACAAGAAAGGAAUAAGAAGUUGUGGGAGAAAAGAUAAUUUGGGGGGCACUUGUAAUGUGUAAUCCUAUCUCUGCCACCAUCUAGAGCAGGGGUCUCCAACCUUGGCAACUUUUAAGACUUGUGGACUUCAACUCCCAUAGUUCCUCAGCCAGCUUUGGUGGCUGAGGAACUCUGGGAGUUGAAGUCCACAAGUCUUAAAGUUGCCAAGGUUGGAGACCCCUGAUCUAGAGGCACUUCUAAUUUGUGUUGGUUGUGUUCGGGUAGCUGAGGAACUUGUUGGCAAAAUGCCCUUUUACAAAUCAACAUAUUGCUUUUGAUGUUGGAAGCACUCCCAGAAAACAUUAUGUUUUAUAUCUAAAUCAAAAUUCUCUCGGCAAAUCUGAGAAAUAGCAAUCACAGAGAGAGCUGGACAGAUAUUAGCUACCGUAGGAAAAAUACAUUGGAAAUAAAACAAUGUGCAAAUUAAUAUUAACUACAUUGCAUUGCAUGAAAGUGGAAGAAAGAAAAUGGUUGCUGGGAAAAUCCAACUUCGCUUUCUUGCAAAAAAAAAAAAAGCUGAGCAUUAAUUUCUAAACUUUGUUGCUGUUUUUGUUGUUGUUCUAUUACCUAAUGUACAAUCUGCUUAUUUAAAUUAAUAAGAGUGACUGUUUCCAAAGUGAGUUUUCUGUAACACUUGUAAUUGUGACAGUUAUUGUAUUUAUUUAUUUUAGUAAAUAGCAUUUAAUAGCAUUAAUUAAAGAUUGUAGUUCUUAAAAAUAGAAAUUCUCCCUAAAAGUGUCCAAGUGGGCAGGGUUUUUUUUAAAUUGUAUAAUCUGAAAUUAGCUUCUUUGUAUAAAAUCUUGCUGAAAGAAACAUGAAUUCUGCAAAAUAUUUCUAAAUACCACCUCUCCUGAUUUUCAUGUACUAUUGUAAUUCAAAAUAUCCAGGGCUACAUGACUGCAUUAAUACAUGUGUGUACAAAAUAUGGCAUUUAUAUCUAGAAAAAUCACCUUGAGUAUUGGGACAGGAAAAAAUAAAACAAAUGCAGUUUAUUCAUAUAAGAGAUGCCUUUUUAUCUGCGAGUAUAUGCAGAUUAGCAAAUCAAAUAAGUAUAUUGUUGCAAAUAUUUUUCUUUGGGCAGUAGAAGUGGCAAAUAUUCUACUUAUGACUGGCAACAGAUAUCAGCUUACAAAGAAAAAGGGAGGCACCAUAUAGGUUAUAGAGCAAUCUUGUUUCUCAGAGAGAGAAAUGCUUUUACAAGAGCCUGCGUCCAAAACUAAACUGCUUGUUGUUUCAAAUGUUUUGGCAUCCAUAUUUCAAACCCAGGCUGCCUUUCUUUUCCAUCCCAAAUCUAAGCUCUGACAUAGAGAAUACAGCAGCUUCCCCAAAAUUCAAAUGAUGAAUGAUGACUCCAUAACAGCUUAAAUAUCUCAUUACCGUGAACAAAUUGGAGAAGCAAUGUGAGAAGACCACCAUGUCAAACACUGAUUGUGACUACCCAAAAGAGGAACAAAUGCAUCUUAUUCAUAGGAUUGAUGAGAACAGGAGAAAACCUGCAUAUAAUGCAGUGGUGGGUUGCUGCCGGUUCAGACUGGUUCAGGCGAACCGGUAGUUCCGACCAGUGGCUGGGUCCACCCACCUGCCCUGGAGCUAUCAUGUCCUAUAUAAUCAUUGUUUUUUUGAUGCCACAUGCAUGUGCGGAAGGCACGCGCAAGAGCGAAGCUAGCAUGCGUGCGCUCACAUUUUCGAUUCUGGGCGAGCCUAUUGUUACAGUAUGUAACGCCUACCUCUGGCAUAAUGGUGACUACUCUUGCUGGAUUGUCUACAGGUAGUCCUUGACUUACAACCAUUCAUUCAGUGACCAUUCAAAGUUGCAAUGAUGCUGAAAAAGGUGACUUAUGACUGUUUUUCACAUUUAGAACUGUUGCAGCACCUCUAGGUCACAUGAUCAAAAUACUGACACUUGGGAACCAGCAAGUAUUUAUGCUGGUUGCAUUGUCCAAGGGUCAUGUUUGCAACCUUCUGGAAAGCAAAGUCAACGGGAAAGCCAGAUUCACUUAACAACCAUGUUAUUAAUUUAACAGCUGCAGUGAUUCACUUGCACAACUAUGGCAAGAAAGAUAAUAAAAUGAGGUAAAACUGCCUUGUUUAGCAAUGGAAACUUUGGACUCAGUUGUGAUCAUAAGUAGAGAAUUAUCUGUAUUAGUGAUUUAUCACUUUAAAGGGUGGACUUGUGGAGGGAGGGUUUGUUUGAAACGGCCACUUCUUUACCUGUAAAGUUGGCCUAUCUAAUGAUGUUAUCAAGUGUGUUUUCAGAAGGACAGGUGUGGCAUGAAAAGAUAUCCCUUGGGCUAUGACUGACACAUAUUGAUAAAUCUCAGUGUUCCCAAGCUAUGGUGGCUUGUGAGCAAUUUAGAGGGAGAAUUGCUAAAAUAUUUGGAAUCUGAUCAGGGAAAACUUGAGCACCAUUAAUAUUUAUUCUGAGUUUUACCAGUGCAAGCAUGUAAAAUUUGAGAACCUCUGCAAUACAUAGAUUAAAUUGUAAAUAUUAAAAGUAGAUGGUAAAUUGAUUUCUGAUUGAUCCCAACCCUAUUCUAAUGAGAUCAUUAAAUGUAUCCUAUGAAAUGUUUGCUCAAAUUAAUUUCUCAUUUUAGGGGACAUCAGUAGGACCAAACAUGAGAACUCCUGCAGUAACUAACUGAAAGCUGGAUUCUAUUCUGAAGUCCCUAUAAAAUGCAACUUUAAAGGAUUAGAGAAAUCCCGCACUAUGAAGCCUACAAAACACCUUAAUUAGUUGUCUUAUUUUUUUGUAUUCCAAAACAACCAUAGGAAGAACAUUUAUCACCUGUGAAAUAAACUGCAAGAACAGCUUGUGAUCAUAGACAAUGGAAUGAUUAGUGAACAGGCAUGGCCCCCAUUCCUGGUUUACAAGAAUCAUAGUCAUCCAAGGUUUUGCAUAAUGUUGCAGUGUUCUCACCAACCUAGCCAUUUUUGCAAGUUAAUUGCUUUCCAAGGACUGGACACACCACCAUGUACACACUGCUUGCAGCCCACACCUACUGCACACUGUAAAUCUGUACACACUGCUUGCAGCCCACACCUACCCCAACUACAGGGUAUUAUUCUGGGUCAACCCUACCCUUCUAGUUUUUGCAAGGUGAUCUUGGCACCUAAGUAUCACUGUAAUACUCAUUCCUUUAUACUAAGUAUUUUAAAUGUUUAUGGAGAUUCUCAGUCAUCCAGGUGAUGGUUAUUCCAAAUGUGCUUUUUCAAAAGGCAAUUGUUUUUCCUUGAAGACAGUUUACUUCUCAUCCAAGAAGCCUCAUCAGAACUCAAGAAGCUUCUUGGAUCAGAAGUGCUUUUUAAAGAAAAAACAAAGUCCAGUUGCCUUUUGAAAAAGCACCUUUGGGAUGACUUGGGUUUUUUUUAAUACUCAGUUCAAACAGAAGUCUCAAACUUGCAUACAACCUUUGCCUUUUCCCAAAAAUUCUUGUACUAGUUGGGAUGAGGUGCCACUUCCUUUCUGAUUACUAUCAAGCUUCUGGCAAAGCUCCAAACAGAUUUCCAACAGUAUUUGCUGUUCCCCAUAGCUUGUAUUUCUGGCAGUUGAAUAACAGUCCUCUUGCCUGCUUGUAAUAGCUGUUAAUUUAAUCUAAGACACAUCUAUUUAUCUGCGCAGGACUGGACUAGAAUUUUAAAUUUUAAUUUGGUUUUAAUGGGGUUUUAUUAUUUGUAUUGCUAUUUUUAAUUAUUCGGCCUUAUGUAAUAAGUUUUUUAAUGGAUGUUUUAUCGUGUAUUUAUAUGUAUAUUUUAUCUGGCUGUGAACCGCCCUGAGUCCCUAGGGAGAUAGGGCGGUAUAUAAAUGCGAAAAAUAAAUAAAUAAAUAAAUAAAA